rnacentral:rRNA from 1 species
UUCCAGACUCCUACGGGAGGCAGCAGUGGGGAAUAUUGCACAAUGGGGGGAACCCUGAUGCAGCGACGCCGCGUGGGUGAAGGAGCACCUCGGUGCGUAAAGCCCUAUCGGCAGGGAAGAAACAGACGGUACCUGACUAAGAAGCCCCGGCUAACUACGUGCCAGCAGCCGCGGUAAUACGUAGGGGGCAAGCGUUAUCCGGAUUCACUGGGUGUAAAGGGAGCGUAGACGGCGACGCAAGUCUGGAGUGAAAGCCCGGGGCCCAACCCCGGAACUGCUCUGGAAACUGUGCGGCUAGAGUACUGGAGGGGCAGGCGGAAUUCCUAGUGUAGCGGUGAAAUGCGUAGAUAUUAGGAGGAACACCAGUGGCGAAGGCGGCCUGCUGGACAGUAACUGACGUUGAGGCUCGAAAGCGUGGGGAGCAAACAGGAUUAGAUACCCCGGUAUA